GAACUCCAGUCAUCAGACAGUAAGC
rnacentral:piRNA from 1 species